rnacentral:rRNA from 1 species
UUGCCUACGGGGGGCAGCAGUGGGGAAUCUUGCACAAUGGGGGAAACCCUGAUGCAGCGACGCCGCGUGAGCGAUGAAGCCCUUCGGGGUGUAAAGCUCUUUCGGCAGGGAAGAUGAUGACGGUACCUGCAGAAGCAGCUGCGGCUAACUACGUGCCAGCAGCCGCGGUAAUACGUAGGCAGCAAGCGUUGUUCGGAGUUACUGGGCGUAAAGGGUGUGUAGGCGGUUCUUUAAGUUUGGUGUGCAAUCUCCCGGCGCAACGGGGAGGGUGCGCCGAAUACUGAGGGACUCGAGUGCGGGAGAGGAAAGUGGAAUUCCUGGUGUAGCGGUGAAAUGCGUAGAUAUCAGGAGGAACACCGGUGGUGUAAACGGCUUUCUGGACCGUAACUGACGCUGAGACACGAAAGCGUGGGUAGCAAACAGGAUUAGAUACCCCGGUAGUCA